rnacentral:rRNA from 1 species
AGCGAACGCUAGCGGCAGGCCUAAUACAUGCAAGUCGAACGGUGUCCUCGGACAUAGUGGCGCACGGGUGCGUAACACGUAUGCAACCUACCCUACAUUGGGGGAUAGCCUUUCGAAAGGGAGAUUAAUACCGCAUAAGACAGUAGCUGGGCAUCCAGCAGCUGUUAAGAUUUAUCGAUGUAAGCUGGGCAUGCGUCCAAUUAGCUAGUUGGUGAGGUAACGGCUCACCAAGGCAAUGAUUGGUAGGGGAACUGAGAGGUCAAUCCCCCACACUGACACUGAGAUACGGGCCAGACUCCUACGGGAGGCAGCAGUAGGGAAUAUUGGGCAAUGGACGCGAGUCUGACCCAGCCAUGCCGCGUGCAGGAUGAAGGCGUUAUGCGUUGUAAACUGCUUUUAUACAGGAAGAAACGACUCUUGCGAGAGGCAUUGACGGUACUGUAUGAAUAAGCACCGGCUAACUCCGUGCCAGCCGCCGCGGUAAAAC